GAAAUGCGAUAUGUAAUGCGAAUUGCAGAAUUCAGUGAAUCAUCAAAUCUUUGAACGCAAAUGGCGCUCUCGGGAUAGACCUGGGAGCACGCCCCUCUGAGUAUCGGUUCAACAACAACUCACCCAGCGUGUUUAGCAAUAAGCAUCAACUGUGUGGAGAAUGAGAGUCUGAACUGCCACAAGGUUUAGUCUCUUGAAAUCUGUUGAGCUUUGGAUCUCCUAGUUCGUGUCUCUCUUCGGAGGGAAUAGUCUUACUUGACUUUAAUGUUUCUCAACUAGUGACGUGGAUAAUAUCACUUUUCUGUGAUUGAAACGUCUUGCUAUUGGGGAACAUUUCCUAUGGUCAGUAGGGUGAACAAUCUAGUGGUCUGAAAGCGCCAAUUGAACCUUGAUCGUUAGCGCGAUCAAUUAUUUCUGAAAUUAGAUCUCAGAUGGAGCGAGAGGACCCCCUGAAUUUAAGU
rnacentral:misc_RNA from 1 species